rnacentral:rRNA from 1 species
CAAUAGCGUAUAUUAAAGUUGUUGCAGUUAAAAAGCUCGUAGUUGGAUUUGUGGCGUACGGUGUGUUCCGGGCACUUGUUGUCUGAGUAACCUGCUGUUGCCAUCCUUGGGUGGAACCUGUGUGGCAUUAGGUUGUCGUGCAGGGGAUGCCCAUCAUUUACUGUGAAAAAAUUAGAGUGUUCAAAGCAGGCUUAUGCCGUUGAAUAUAUUAGCAUGGAAUAAUGAGAUAGGACUUUUUUGCUAUUUUGUUGGUUUGCGCAAAGAGGUAAUGAUUAAUAGGGACAGUUGGGGGUAUUCGUAUUCCAUUGUCAGAGGUGAAAUUCUUGGAUUUACGGAAGACGAACUACUGCGAAAGCAUUUACCAAGGAUGUUUUCAUUAA